UACGUAGGUGGCAAGCGUUAUCCGGAUUUACUGGGUGUAAAGGGAGCGUAGACGGCAGUGCAAGUCCGGAGUGAAAGCCCGGGGCUCAACCCUGGGACUGCUCUGGAAACUGUAAAGCUGGAGUGCGGGAGGGGCAGGUGGAAUUCCUGGUGUAGCGGUGAAAUGCGUAGAUAUCAGGAGGAACGCCGGCGGCGAAGGCGGCCUGCUGGACCGUAACUGACGUUGAGGCUCGAAAGCGUGGGGAGCAAACAGG
rnacentral:rRNA from 1 species